rnacentral:rRNA from 1 species
GAUGAACGCUGGCGGCGUGCUUAACACAUGCAAGUCGAACGGAAAGGCCCAAGCUUGCUUGGGUACUCGAGUGGCGAACGGGUGUGUAACACGGGGGUGAUCUGCCCUGCACUUCGGGAUAAGCCGGGGAAACUGGGUCUAAUACCGGAUAGGACGAUGGUAUGGAUGCGGUUGUGGAAAGUUUUUUCGGUGUGGGAUGAGCUCGCGGCCUUUCAGUUUGUUGGUGGGUUAAUGGCCUACCAGGGCGUGGAGGGGUGGCGGGCUUGAGAGGGGGUACGGCACAAUUGGGCUGGGAUACCGGCCCGGCUCCCACGGGGAGCAGGAGGUGGGAAUAUUGGACAAUGGGGGCAAGCCUGGUGCAGCGAAGGCGGGGGGGGGGUGAAGGCCCUCGGGUUGGAAACCCCCUUCGCUAGGGACGAAGCGUUUUUGUGACGGUACCUGGAGAAGAAGCACCGGCUAACUACGUG